UUUAAAACCCUUAUUUCCGCUCUCACUUGUUGUUGCUGUUGUUGUAGACCUACUUCUACUGGGCCUACACAUCGGUGGACCUCGCCUCCCCAGUUCGAGACGGGUUCCUGGGUCGGUUUCCCUGGCAUUUUGGACAUUUAGGGGCCACCACAUUUUCCCUACCACACCUAAAACAAAAUGUCCUAGUUAUGGGUUCGGGACAAUCCAUAAAGCUAUGGCCAACGACAUUGCAAUUCCAGCAAGUGUAAUGACUGGUUGACCGAAUACCAUCUACCUCCAAGUCUAUCAACGACUGCUCAGCUUCCACACAGUACAAAUCGUUUACCCGUUGAGCUGACCGUUGAUACAUUUGUCUCUGGUUGGCUAGCAAGUUCUCAGCUCGCCUUACUUCUCUGCAGAAUUCUGACAGAGUUUUCAACCUCACUGAGAACAUCAUCUGCGCCAGCGAUGGUUUUAGAUUGCCUCUCAUGAUCUCUACAAUCUGCUCUUCAACAUAUGGAUAUUGCUGCUGAUUUCGCAAUUUUAUCACAGCAUUAUAGAACUCCUCGAAGGUUUCUUGUGGCAGCUGCCGGCGAUUUAAAAUGCGCAUUUGUAUUUCAUGUUCUUGCUCGAACCGACGAUACUGUGCCAAUAGAGCUCUCUCUAGUUCCUCCCAGGUGUUUAUAUGGACGAUUUUUCGGUAGUCCCAGUACCAAUCCAGGGCUGGACCUUCCAGCAGUAGAUGGAAACUGCGUAGGAUCUCGUUGUCUGUGCAGCUGUAAUCUCUUCUCAGCGCUCCCACUCUAAAGAUAAAUUCCUGCACAUUCAUAGUUUUAUUUGUGCCAUUAAACUUCACACCCCAUUUAGCCAAUUUAAAUUUGUCUAGUGGCUCAGGUUGUCUUCGCAUAGACAUUGCCAAGUUGUAGCUUUGUGGUUGUUGUGGCGGUGGUUGAGCUGCUGACCCAGACCAGGCGUCCUGUGGAUACCUAGGCUGGGUGUUCUCAUACCUUUGAUACCCUUGGUAUGGAGCUUGGGUUUGUGACGGCGGUAACUGUGGUGGCUGGACAUACGUUGGAGCUGGUGGUCGUUGAUAUGGCAGAGGAUUUUGCUGCUGCAGAAGUGACUGUUGAUGUUGGUAUUGCGUUACUGCUGGUGUUUGGCGUGUAUAUGCCUCAACCAACUGUGGUGCAUGUUGCCCUAUUGGUACGCAAUUUGGUGCUGGUAUCAGUGGUGGUGGCUGGGCAUAACUUUGUUGCACAUGUGGUACCUCUGGCUGCACAUAUGGUACCUCAGGAUGCACAUACCUCGAUGUGUUAGCUUCCCGCAAGGUUCCUGAUGCCUCAAGUGGUGGUAAAUCAUCAUUUACUCGAGAAGUAGGCGUUUGUAUUUGGUUCUGAGCGGACAGAGAUAAAAUGAGCUGUUUGACGUCAUUGAGUGCCUUUUGUAUCUUAUCGUCCACUUCUUUCAUCAGUUGUAUUUGUUGCAAACCGACCGAAGCACUCAGAAUAUUUUGCACGUCUCUCACCUGUAGUGCCUGUUCCGCUCGUUGGUUACCUUCUCUCACUUCUCUGCGUAUGUUCUGAGCUGUCUCACUCAAGAACGUCGGGGAAAUCACAGUCUGAUCUGCCUCAGAACUGAUGGACAGAUCAUGUGAUGCUUGUGUGCUGAGUACUGGGUUGGUCAUACUGAAUGCCGUGGUAGUAAUCGUACUGACUGCAGGAUUACUAACAGUAGCGAUAGACUCGGUGGUAGGAGUAUUGGUGGAACUAGUCGUAGCUAUGGCGUUGUUGUGCUGUAACCGACUCGCACUACGUGUUACAACCAUGAAAUCGAAAACUUUAAAUUAUAUCUGAAUAAUUUUUAGUGAAAAGGUUUUUAAAAUAUAAUCAAAUUUCGCACCAAAUUCAAACACACAGAAUCUUUUGCCGAAAAAUAAAAAAAGGUAUAUUAAAAAAACAAUUUUGCCUUUUCAUGGAAGGAAAAGCUAAACUAAAAUGAAAAAAUUCAAAAAAAAUAAAAUUAUCAAAUAAUAAAAAAAUCAAAAUAACUAAAAAUUCAAGCAAAAUAAUUCAAGAAAAAUAUAAAAAUCAAAAUAAUAUGGAAUAAAAUCAAAACCAAUAAAAAAUUCAAAUAAAAAAUACGAUAAUUAAAUAAAAAUUCAAAAUAGCAAAAAAAAAUCAAAUAUUAAUCAAAUAAAUAUUAAAUAAAAAUCAAUCAAAAAAAAAAAAAUAGUGAAUCAAUGAUAUGCGGGCGGCUUUUUCGGGAAAAUAAAGCUUGCAGGUAAGGAUUUCACAAUUUACAUUGCUGAUUUGUGUAUAAAUAUGACCUAAUCCUUUUCUUAUCUGGUUUCAGGAGAUGCAGUAAUAAAAAAAGGAAUUCAAAAGGAUUUAUAUGCAAAAUGGAUUUGCACCGCGUGAUUCUUAGGGUGCAGCUAAAAAUUUGGAUUAUCACCCUAGCACAAUUAGGACUACCCUAAUCAUCUUGCGGUGGACAAAAAGGUUCACGAUAUAUAGCUAGCUGGACUGAUCUCCCAAGGAUGGAAGUUUAUCGACGACAGGUGGUUGCAGGAUGGUUUUCUGUCCGUCCGUUUUAUAGUUUGUUCGGGUAUUUCAGGUGAGUAACAAAAAAAAUAUAUUAUAAUUACCUUUUAAAUAAUUUGUUAUUUUUUUUUCUCUGUAUAUACUGGUUUCCGGCAACCUAUGAGUUCAUAUCUACCGCGGGAUUAUUCUUAACUAGGCCUGAGCUCAAUCCUAUCUUUCUCGCGCACGCUUGGACCAAUUUCAUCCAGCGGACUGGCUUCGAGCAACUAACGUAAGGUAUGCCUAUAAACGAAUAUAUAGCUAGAUAUAUAUUUCCCCUUUUUUUUUGUUUACUAAAUUUUUUUUAUUUUUUUUUUUUAUAUAUAGAAAUUAUCUAAAAGGACAGGUUCUGUUCGUCCUGUCGUUCGGGUAAGAGGUACACUUACUAGGUCGAAAACCUUAAUACCUGGGCACCACAGGACUGAUGGUGCGGAUCUGCCAAAGUAGUCCCACGAUGGAUGGAACUGGCGAUGGCGUGGCUCAGCGUUGGCUGAUUUAGUUUUAAGUUUCUGUUUUAUUUAGCUUUAAGUUUAACUUUAUUUAGUUUUAAGUUUUAUUUUAAGUUUUGUUUUAAAUUUGUAAGUUAUUAAAUGAAUAAAAAAAAAUAUUCAAUUUAAA